rnacentral:tRNA from 1 species
AUCAAAGGUAGUUUAAUAAAAUAUCAGCAUUGGAAGCUGGAGAUCAAGAAUUUUGACUUGUCUUUGAA